rnacentral:rRNA from 1 species
UAGGGAAUCUUCGGCAAUGGACGAAAGUCUGACCGAGCAACGCCGCGUGAGUGAAGAAGGCUUUCGGAUCGUAAAACUCUGUUGGUAGAGAAGAACGUUGGUGAGAGUGGAAAGCUCAUCAAGUGACGGUAACUACCCAGAAAGGGACGGCUAACUACGUGCCAC